rnacentral:rRNA from 1 species
GACGAACGCUGGCGGCGUGCUUAACACAUGCAAGUCGAACGGAAAGGCCCUGCUUUUGUGGGGUGCUCGAGUGGCGAACGGGUGAGUAACACGUGAGUAACCUGCCCUUGACUUUGGGAUAACUUCAGGAAACUGGGGCUAAUACCGGAUAGGAGCUCCUGCUGCAUGGUGGGGGUUGGAAAGUUUCGGCGGUUGGGGAUGGACCCGCGGCUUAUCAGCUUGUUGGUGGGGUAGUGGCUUACCAAGGCUUUGGCGGGUAGCCGGCCUGAGAGGGUGACCGGCCACAUUGGGACUGAGAUACGGCCCAGACGCCUACGGGAGGCAGCAGUGGGGAAUAUUGAACAAUGGGCGGAAGCCUGAUGCAGCAACGCCGCGUGCGGGAUGACGGCCUUCGGGUUUUAAACCGCUUUCGCCUGUGACGAAGCGUGAGUGACGGUAAUGGGUAAAGAAGCACCGGCUAACUACGUG